UUCAUAUUUAAACAAGAGUCGGCUUCUUUUUAAUACAGACGAACCAAUAAUACAGUUUAAAUUAUUAGAAAAUUGUAUGGUAUAUAUAAUUCUGAUAUUGCGAAAAAUUUUUAGAUCAAAACAUCGAGCCUCGCCGUGUGUGGCUAAUCUCUUCUCGGAAGCAAAGCUCAUGUUUUUAUGUGACAUUUGGCACACGCAAGAUGCGAACCGAAGCGCUAGAUUUUUUUUCUUUUCCACGAAUUUUCUCUUCCGAUUCUCAAGGCCAAUCAGCUACUUGCCCCCCUGGCCCCCCUCCCACGGUUCCCCAGGCGACUCAGUACCGUGGCGAACACGCAAGGGGAAGGUCACGUCGUGUACGCUUCGCGAUCGUGCGUUUUUCGACUCCGCAAGAGUCGUCUUUUUAGUGCCGCGAAAUGAGAUCUCGUCGCGUUCCUCGCGUCCUCGUCGAGAGCGAAUUUCCCCGCGGAAGAUAUCGCCCGGGAUGCCGAUGUCCGGCGCAGGUAACGAAAAGUGUCGCGUCAAUUGUCUCGUCUUUUUAGUGCCGCGAGGUAAGAUCUCGUCGCGUUUCUCGCCGUCCUCUCGUCGAUCGAGAGUGAGUUUCCCCGCGGAAGGCAUCGCCGGGGAUGUCGAACCGAGUGGUCGCGUCCCGUCUGUGGGAAAUUAGCGUAAAAAUCGUGUCGAAAGUUUCGUCGCGUCGCGUCGCGUCGUGUACAAAGUGACGGCCAUGUUGUGACGUAAUUAGUACACAACGGUCGUACUUUAGGCUUGGUAGUUGACCGUCGCCCGCGUUCGCGUCAUGUCUCGUCUCCGUUCGACACACAGUUGUCUCUUCCGUAUCACGCGUUCCUUGGCGAUAUACGAGUUUGCGAUCAUCGUGGAUCAUUCGCAAACGCCGUCGGGAGACAUAAGUGUCGUCGCGAGACGACCAGUAUCGUGUCCCCGUCAUUAAUUACAUCUCGUCUUUUUAGUGCCGCGAGGUAAGAUCUCGUCGCGUUCCUCGCCGUCCUCUCGUCGGUCGAGAGCGAGUUUCCCCGCGGAAGGCAUCGCCGGGGAUGUCGAACCGAAUCGGCGGGCAAAGUGAUCGCGUCCCUCGUGCCCUUCGCCCCUCUCGUCCGUGAGAAAUUGACGCGAAAAUCGCUUGAGUUUUUCGUCGCGUCGCGCGUCGUGUGCACAGUGACUAUCAUGUGUGACGCAGUUCGUGUACAACCGUCGCCCGCGGUCGCGUCGUGUCGCGGUCCCCGUCUCCAUUCGAUCUCGUCGCGUCCCCGCGUCUUCUCGUCGGUCGAGUGACUCGAGUGUGAGUUUCCCCGCGGAAGGGGAUUCCAUCGCCGAGCAUGCCGAACCAAGCUGACGCCGUUAAUCGUGUCAAGGGCGUGUGGACGAGUGUGUGAACGCAACGAGGAAAGCAUCAUCGGUUCAUCGGCUUGGAACGCUGGAAUGAUGGUGAAAUUUAAUCAAGGUCGAUAAUGUAGAAUCAUUAGUGCACAGCUUUAACAAAAUUUCCAAUAUCGAGGAUUUAUCACCUUCAUCGACAAAUCGUGAAAUGGCAUGACAAACAAUUUCAAGUUUAGGACAUAUGAGACUCAUGUACGAAAGGUGAUGCUGCUACCGCUUUUAAGAUACUUCUUGGUAAGUGAUUUGCUUUCAUAAUGCACAAUUUGUCUUAUAAAUAACUCGCUCUCGUUCAUAGAGUUCCAUGCUCAAAAUAAGCUCAUUUUGCAACAGGCUGAGUGUAUCGGACUCUAUGAAUUCGAAGAUAUAAUUAGUCCGAAUAAAUGAUAUAACUAUUGUUAUCAUUUACUCGAAACAAUUUUUGUACAUUACACGACUAACUAAUUGUUGUUAUAGUUAUCGCUAUUAGCUAUAAUAUUUCCAUUGUGGAAGUAUUUAUAUUAUUUUUAUAUUAUUUAUCAAAAUUUACCAUUACGUAAACCAAUUGCUCUCCAUCAGCUUUUCUGUAAUAAAAAGCACAUAUUUUGAAAGUGUUGAAAAUUUGGCUGGGAAAAUUAUGCGCGUCCAAGUUUUAAAUAUUUUAAUUAUUUAUUUCCUUUACCGUGCUUUUUUCAAUGGCACCACCACUUAUUGAGUGGUUUUUAUAAUAUUUAUUUUGUCUAAUUAACGUAUUCUUGUUAUAUAUGUCCGAAGUUUUUGGCGUGUAAGUUCUAGUUAAAAAAAUUUUAAUAUGGCAACCCUAGCUGGUACUGGAACUUUCAAAUAAUUAGGCGUGAAAGAAAGGACGAGAGAAAGAAGAUUCUAGAAGAAUCUAAGUCUUUUGAAAAAGAACUGAAUUUUCUACAUGUCAAAUACAAAUGACUAAAAUCUCGAGACUGACUCCUCUUCUCUUCUUCUUAUUACUCGUUCUCGAUCUUGUUUAUGAUCUUUCCGGUCGACCCCAAAUAUUUUUAUCGACAAGUCAUUACAAUAUUAACUAUAUUAAUUAUUACCCAACCGCGGACUGUUCGUGAACCGCCGGGAAUUACGAGACAUUUCUCGAUUAUAUUCUCAACGAUAUUCUAUCAAAAUUUAUUCGAUUUUGCGGAGACCGGCAGACAAAUGCUUGGAAAAUUUAAACAAUCUACUCUCUUUUAAUAUUUAUAAUAAUUUUUAUUAUAAUAGGUAGAAUUAUAAAGGUAAUGUUUCCAACAUUACAGCAGCAGUAAUUAUAAAAAUGGAGCUCUUAAACGUAAUUACUUUAUUUUACUUGCAAUUACGAUUUUGAUAGAAAUUUUUAGAGUAGAGUUAUUUAGAAAUAUUACCGAGGCAGUCGAAAUAAAGAUCGUUAAAUAGUUAAGAUUGAGGAACAUAAUUAAUAAAUAUAAUUAAAUAAAUGUGAAUGUUAAUAUAGAAUUAACACAAUUAUACGUGCCAAAGUUCUGAGUUGCGUGGAUCGUGUUCGCGUGUCGCAAUUGUUUUCUGACACCGGCUAAACGGUAUAGCGGUAUUUUACGAACUGUCGAAUCGCACCGACGACAACUUCAAGAUUUAUACCUCUUUGCCGUCUACGAACCCAACCACUUCUCUUCCGUCGGCGUCGUUCUGUUUGUCUUUUUAUCCUGCUCCCAGUCUUCUUCUCGCUCUCCUACGCUAUCUUUGUCUUCUCUUUCUUUUCCGCGGCGUAUCAACCUCUGUCGCUCCCUGUUUUUCCGCGAUUCAGCCUUCGAGAUCCUGUUACCAUGAUUAAAAGAAUCCGUCGACUCUCCUGGCUUUCCUGGAAAGCCUCACCCAAGCUUCUCGAAAAAGCUCGGUCCUUUCCUUUGCUUCUUUCUCUAUUUCUUCAUUUCUCUUUAGACCAAGUUCUUCUCAUCGUCUCGACACUUAAGCAUAUCGAAUUUUCCACCAGGAUGUAACGACGAAAUAUUAUUACAUCGAUUAAAGCAAAUAUCGCAAGUCACAUCGUAACUAUCACAAAAUAUUUUUGUUACAUACGCAUCGAAAGUGGUCCCUUUCUUGUCACUUUUUUGUGGAUAGAAACAUCGAUUUCAGCACUUUAAUACAUUACAUAGUUCUUAUCUUCUAAUAGAUGGCGUGAAUCACGAAAACAUUGUAGCACGACUUUUUUAGCACGUUUGAUCAUUUCAGCACUCGCAUGCGUGUGUUAUCUUGUGACACGCAUAUGGUAACUUUUGUAAAAUUGAUUAAUAUCUUGACUAAAGCAGACUAAUGACUAAAGCAAUAAAUCUUUAUUGCUUUAGCGAACUUAACCCAAUCUGUCAAUUUGCAAGAUCCAGACACUCAAUGGACCGAGUAACAAAAAAUACGAAUAUAACGGCCUUUUGCACUCGUGCGGGCGAACUCGCCUACUGCUCAUGCGUCCACUCCCCGCACUCGUACACAAAAGACCGACUUUACGUUUUUAUUACAUAUUAUACUAUUGUGUCGCAUCAAAUAAUUUUUUGAGACCUUAAGCUUUAAUUAUCUCUUGAAUAUUUUUCCUGCAAAAUCUUUCAAAAAAUAACUUUCUGAUUUGUUUAUUAAAAAAUACCGAGAAAUAUUUUGUCAGAAAGAACAACAAAUUGUUCUUAUUAUACGAACUCAUAAAAUUUAUGAAAUUGGAAGACUAUAUAUACAUAUAUACAUAUGUAUGUAUGUAUGUAUGUAUGUAUACAUAUAUGUAAUACCACAGAAAAUUGUCCUGUUAAAGAUUCUUUGUUUCCGAGUUUUGAAAAAACUUGAAUCUUAAGUUUUAUUAGAUUUCAUAGAGAGAUCGUUAUGGUCUCGUUGUGGUUUCGUUACGUUUUUUUUGUUAAUAAAACAAACAACAAAAUUUCUAUCGAGAUUUGUUCUGUAGUCUUUUAUUGAUUUUCUUGCUUUGUCUGUUGAUUUUAGAGCGAAAAGCCCUUCCCACGUUCUUUCCCGCCCUUCUCAAGUCCGCGCGUUUUCGUUUUUAUUUCGAUCGGCUUUGAAGAUCCUAUUUCCAGGUGUAAAAACAUCCUGCAGCUUGUUCGAUAAGGCUUCUUGUGUCGUCUUGUGUCUGUAUGUUCCGUCCUUUAGUCGUUGCUCUCUCAUGGCUGCCUGGGCUUCUCGAUUCGCCAGGACGUUCGUGUGCAAUAGUCAAAUAUUGGUAAAAAUAUCUAUUGAAUUUUAUUCGCCCCUGCGAUGCCAUAUAGCGGGAUGAAAAUCGAGACAUGACAGGUGGCAAGAAUAAGAAGCAAGCAUAUAGAAUGUUUCAGAAACAAUUGCCUCUAGUCACAGAUUUUAUUGCUAUUGGUCGUCGUGAAUGUAAUUAUCUUCCUUCUCAAAAUAUUAAAUUUUUGAAUAAACUAAUGAUACAUAUUUCAAAAUUUACUUGUAAUCUCUUACCAUGUAUUUUUAUUUAACAGAUAUUCAGCAAUUUUUGGCCACCCUGUGUGUAUCACUCCUAUAUACGUAUAUCGACUUACAUUUCGCGAUCUUCGCUAGUCUUCAGAUGAAGAGAUCUUGUUUUCUACUAUUUUCGCUUGUAUCUGCUCUUUUAGGUUCGGUGUUCCAAUUUGAUUUCUUUUGAUUAGUUUCUGUAGAUUCGCUUCUCAGGAUGAAAGAGUCGUAUUUGUUCGAUCUUGUAAUGUUGUGAAUUUUGACAGGAAAAUCUUUCGGUAGAAGAUUUGAAAAACCACGUGUUGUAUGUAGAGAGAUGAAUAACGAAAAGUUGAUAUAAAAGUUUGUCUAUUUCUAUAUCUUUAUGUUCUAUUUGUCUAUAUAAAAGUUUUAACAAAUUAAUAUUACUAAAAUUGACAUGUAAAUUUCGAAAAUAAUUGUUACACAUUGUUAUGAUUUUUUUUUUUUUUUCAAUUAAUAACAAACAUCAUAAAAGGCGAUAAACGUGAAAAUAAUUUUAAAAUUCUUCUGAAGUAUCUCUUUGUAUCCUAUUUGUCAUUUUCUUUUCUUUUUUUUCGUUCAAAAUCCAGCAGGAUUAAAAGAAGUUGUAACUUGAAUGAUCUCAAAGUACUUCGGAAUUACAAGCUCGCCGAGCGUGCUUGUCGCUUUUAGCCUGCGCACUCAGCGCCAUUAAUGUGAGAUGUUUGCGACAAGGAAACCUCCAAGAGUACUCUUUCGUUCGGUUUAAGUUGCAGAUUUUUUUAUAACCAAACCUUUAUUACCGGAAAAAAUACUAGUAUUGAAAAUUCUGUACUGCGCGUUCUCUGCGGUUUAAUCGUUGAAGGCAUUUUUCACUCAAUGCACAUCAGAUGUUUUCAGUUUUUUAACUUAUACUUUACUUGACAAAAUAUUACUUCCAGUAGCUUUCAAUAUGACGAGAUCUUCUAAAGAGAAAUAUCGUGAAAUAUAAUUUGGACGUCGAACGUCCAAAGCAAUAAAUAAUGAAGUUUGCAAUUAAUAUAUUUCCUGAUGUACAGAAAUUUGCUGACAUCAAUUUCCGCGCCACGCUCUCGUUACUCUAUCGGGCUUUUUGCAAUCUCUUCGCUCUUCCAUAUUAGUAUAGUUUCUUCAUAACUCUCCGGUUUCUCUUCGAUCGAUUUUCGGUACGGCACUUGCGGAAGUAAAAGAAGCCGUAACUACGGCCGAGACUCCUUCUCGUGGAGGAGAUGUAAGGAGGAAAAGGAUGCUUGUCGGGUACCGCUCGCGUAAUUGGCACUUUGAACGUACAAGAUUGGCAUGAGCAGUAAUAAAACUGCUUGAAGGGAAA
rnacentral:lncRNA from 1 species